GCAAACUUGGUCAUUUAGAGGAAGUAAAAGUCGUAACAAGGUUUCCGUAGGUGAACCUGCGGAAGGAUCAUUAUUGAAUUUAAUGUAGAGUUGGUUGUAGCUGGCCUGAAUUAAUUUUCUGGGCAUUGUGCACGCCUUCUCUUUCAUCCACACACACCUGUGCACCUGUGAGACAGCAAGGGGGAUUUUUUUGAAAAAAUUAGGAACCCUUCUGUCUACUUAAUUCCACACAAACUCAAUUUAUUUUAAAACGAAUGUAAUUGAUGUAACGCAUCUAAUACUAAGUUUCAACAACGGAUCUCUUGGCUCUCGCAUCGAUGAAGAACGCAGC
rnacentral:misc_RNA from 1 species